CUGGCUCAGGAGUGAACGCUGGCGGCGUGACCUAACACAUCAAGUCGAACGAACCGUAGAAAUACGGUGAGUGGCGGACGGGUGAGUAACGCGUAAGCAAUCUGCCUUUGUGUGUGGAAUAACAACCGGAAACAGUUGCUAAUACCGCAUAACGCAGAGAGAUCGCAUGGUCUUUCUGCCAAAGAUUUAUCGCACGAAGAUGAGCUUGCGUCCGAUUAGAUAGUUGGCGGGGUAACGGCCACCAAGUCGACGAUCGGUAGCCGGACUGAGAGGUUGAACGGCCACAUUGGAACUGAGAUACGGUCCAGACUCCUACGGGAGGCAGCAGGUGGGGAAUAUUGGGCAAUGGACGAAAGUCUGAACCCCCAGCGACGCCGCGUGAGGGAAGAAGGUCUUCGGAUUGUAAACCUUAGUCAACAGGGACGAAGCAAGUGACGGUACCUGUGGAGGAAGCCACGGCUAACUACGUGCCAGCCGCAGC
rnacentral:rRNA from 1 species